rnacentral:rRNA from 1 species
GACUAAGCGUACACGGUGGAUGCCUUGGCAGUCAGAGGCGAUGAAAGACGUAGUAACUUGCGAUAAGCCCAGAUUAGGUAGUAACAACCAUUUGAGUCUGGGAUUUCUGAAUGGGGAAACCCACGUGCAUAAGCACGUAUCCUUACCUGAAUACAUAGGGUAAGGAGGCGAACCGGGGGAACUGAAACAUCUAAGUACCCCGAGGAAAAGA